rnacentral:rRNA from 1 species
UACAGAGGUCCCAAGCGUUGUUCGGAUUCAUUGGGCGUAAAGGGUGCGUAGGCGGUGGGGUAAGUUGGAUGUGAAAUCUUGGGGCUUAACCUCAAAAUUGCAUUCAAUACUGCUCCGCUCGAGUUCUGUAGAGGAGAUUGGAAUUUACGGUGUAGCAGUGAAAUGCGUAGAUAUCGUAAGGAACGCCAGUGGCGAAAGCGACUUCCUGGACCAGUACCGACGUUCAGGCACGAAAGCGUGGGGAGUAAACAGG